UACGUAGGGGGCAAGCGUUGUCCGGAAUCAUUGGGCGUAAAGCGCGCGUAGGCGGCCCGGUAAGUCCGUUGUGAAAGUCGAAGGCUCAACCUUUGAACGCCGAUGGAUACUGCCGGGCUAGAGUCCGGAAGAGGCGAGUGGAAUUCCUGGUGUAGCGGUGAAAUGCGCAGAUAUCAGGAGGAACACCGGUGGCGAAGGCGGGUCUCUGGGCCGAUACUGACGCUGAGGAGCGAAAGCGUGGGGAGCGAACAGG
rnacentral:rRNA from 1 species